GAGCAGGGACAAGGAGCGGGCUACCAAGGUCUGGUAAGCUCACUUCUUUCCAACUCGACACCCCCAGGUUUUUUACAACUUUAUUCACACACGCAGCAGUAAACAGAUUUCCCCUGCCCCUUUAAGAGUUCCCCUUUCAGGAACCAGAGCCUCUGGGUUUGUGUGUCUGCAGCGUGAUUUGAUUAUCAGGGCUAUUCCUGGACACAAGGAGCGAGACUCCUGCAAUAAGAUGUUCUGAAUAAAUGCUUCUUGACCCUGAACCCUGAAGUCGACAGCGUCCCUGCCCAGAAGAGAAGUCAGAUGUUAAACCAACAGCUGCUAACCUGAACUUCCUCCUGGUGUCCUCUCCAGGUCGUACGGGUUUCUGGUGAUGCCAUAGAGGUGGUUGUGGGACUCGCACCACAUACACAGCUCACUGGUGUUGGUGACGCCCAGCGGGAUGGCCCCUGCUCUUUUCAGCAGGGCCACCGACGGAGUGUCGACGGUGGCCGUGACUCCUCGCCUGGACAGCAAACCUGCAGUGUUCGGCAUGCCUGCAACACGGAAACACAUCAAAUACACUCAAAAUGCCAGGUUUCAAGAGACUGACGGGAUAUUAGGGUGGGGCCGGUAGACGGCGAUGGCUGACAGACAUCACAACGUUGAGCAGGCAUCUUGAUUGUAAACCCCCACCCCCCUUUGGCAAAAAAAAGAUCUAAAUGUUUCAAAUUA